rnacentral:rRNA from 1 species
GCUCACAUGCAGUCGAGCGGCAGCACAGAGGACUUGUUCCUUGGGUGGCGAGCGGCGGACGGGUGAGUAAUGCCUAGGAAAUUGCCCUGAUGUGGGGGAUAACCAUUGGAAACGAUGGCUAAUACCGCAUGAUGCCUACGGGCCAAAGAGGGGGACCUUCGGGCCUCUCGCGUCAGGAUAUGCCUAGGUGGGAUUAGCUAGUUGGUGAGGUAAUGGCUCACCAAGGCGACGAUCCCUAGCUGGUCUGAGAGGAUGAUCAGCCACACUGGAACUGAGACACGGUCCAGACUCCUACGGGAGGCAGCAGUGGGGAAUAUUGCACAAUGGGCGCAAGCCUGAUGCAGCCAUGCCGCGUGUAUGAAGAAGGCCUUCGGGUUGUAAAGUACUUUCAGUCGUGAGGAAGGUGGUGUUGUUAAUAGCAGCAUCAUUUGACGUUAGCGACAGAAGAAGCACCGGCUAACUCCGUGCCAGCAGCCGCGGUAAUACGGAGGGUGCGAGCGUUAAUCGGAAUUACUGGGCGUAAAGCGCAUGCAGGUGGUGGAUUAAGUCAGAUGUGAAAGCCCGGGGCUCAACCUCGGAACCGCAUUUGAAACUGGUUCACUAGAGUACUGUAGAGGGGGGUAGAAUUUCAGGUGUAGCGGUGAAAUGCGUAGAGAUCUGAAGGAUACCGG